rnacentral:rRNA from 1 species
UGCUCACACUCAGACCUUUCUCCCGAAGGAUUGUGGCCGGCGGAUAGUGCCCUAAAAAGGUCCUACCACUGUUACUUUCAUUACGCACGGGAGUUUGCCACUCCUAUACUUGCACAUAUGUUAGACUCCUUGGUCCGUGUUUCAAGACGGGGUAAAGAAAACCAUUUUGCCAGCAUCAGUCCAGGCCAAUGCAACAUUGCAGUGUCUUCAGUCCGAAAAGGACCUACCUCCAAAGCAACUAUUUGCACCGACCCAAACCAAGGAUGGCCUAUUCUGACCCACAGCGCUUCUACUGCAAGCAGCACAAGAAGAAUGAGACAGAACAACACUGGUUUCCUUCGCUUCCCUUUCAACAAUUUCAUGUACUCUUUAACUCUCUUUUCAAAGUUCUUUUCAUCUUUCCCUCACGGUACUUGUUCGCUAUCGGUCUCCUACCAAUAUUUAGCUUUAGAUGGAAUUUACCACCCACUUUGAGCUGCAAUCCCAAACAACUCGACUCGUUGAAGGCACGAAUAUAGUCGAAUGUCCCAGGCAAGAACGGGAGUCUCACCCUCUCUGCUGCCUUUUUCCAAAGGACUUGGCCCGGGACACCAACAGACGAUGCUUCUACAGACCACAACUCGGCACAAGCAAGGCUUGUACAGAUUCACACGGUGAGCUCUUCCCGCUUCAGUCGCCCUUACUGAGGGAAUACUUGUUAGUUUCUUUUCCUCCCCUUAGUUAUAUGCUUAAAUUCAGGGGGUAAUCUUACUAAGCUGAGAUCCGAUUGUAGAACACUCAUAUACACAUUCUCACUCAGUCAAACAUGGGGUUCAACUGAGAGAUAGGGUGCGAGGCACACAGGUACCCAGGCAGGGCUAAGUAGGCUGCUCAUAAUCUAACUGGGAGCCACACAUCAUCCUAACGUACAUGUAGUACAUUUACCAAAUGUCAGCUUCCUGUCAAGAAGAGAGAGACUGUAACUCGGCUCUAGACCCGGGGGCAGUGCGCAAGUUGUCCUCAGUGACAGUAAAGUCAGGACCACUCACUUCAGUGGAGCUGGAUAUACACACCCUAGGGGUAUGUUCUUCCAGCAACACCAUAUUCAGACACUCUGUGAGGUCUAGUUGGGUUCACGGACACUCAACCAAGCAUACUACCAGGUACAUUCCCGGUAAUGCAAUGUGCGUUCAAAAUUUUGAUGAUUCCGAAAUCGUGCAAUUCAUAUUACAUAUCGCAUUUCGCUGCGUUCUUCAUCGUUGUAGGAGCCAAGAAAUCCAUUGCUGAAAGUUGUAUUACAUUAGUAAUGAUAGAGAUAGGGGAACAGGGACACAGGCUGGUAUGCCAGGUACCCCGUCCCGCACCUAUUUCCUUUGAUUUCUGGUUUAUUUUGUAUCUAAUUUCAGUAGUGGGGUCGGCAGGUUGCAUGUACUAGCCAUGUGAGUUCAACAAGAUGUACAAGUUAGUACUCACAGGCCUAUACACACAGAGAACCACCUUUCAGUAAAAAGUUUUAUAUCAUAGGGUCGCAGGAGGUGGUGAACUCGACACGACAUGACAUGGGUCAGUCUACAGCCAGAGUCUACCACCAACCAUGCUAUUUCUCGGGAGUUGAGAUCUUAGAUCGGUGUGGUAAUGAUCCUUCCGCAGGUUCACCUACGGAAACCUUGUUACGACUUCACCUUCCUCUAAGUGAUAAGGUUCGGACAAGUUCUCGCGGUGAGUUUCCAAUAAAGGAAGCUAACUACAAUCCCGAGGCCUCACCGGAACACUCAAUCGGUAGGUGCGACGGGCGGUGUGUACAAAGGGCAGGGACGUAAUCAAUGCAGAUUGAUGAUCUGCGUUUACUAGGAAUUCCUCGUUCACGAUUAAAAGUUGCAAUAAUCGAUCCCUAUCACGAUGCACAUUACAAGAUUGCCCAGGCCUCUCGGCCAAGGUUAUAAGCUCGUUGAAUGCAUCAGUGUAACACGCGUGCGGUUCAGAACAUCUAAGGGCAUCACAGACCUGUUAUUGCCUCAAUCUUCCUAAAGUUUGAUACUUUAUGUCCCUCUAAGAAACAGCCGCCAAUGAAAGAUCAUUAACGCUAUUAUUUAGCAGGCUGAGGUCUCGUUCGUUAACGGAAUUAACCAGACAAAUCACUCCACCAACUAAGAACGGCCAUGCACCACCACCCAUAGAAUCAAGAAAGAGCUCUCAAUCUGUCAAUCCUAACUAUGUCUGGACCUGAUAAGUUUUCCCGUGUUGGGUCAAAUUAAGCCGCAGGUUCCACUCCUGGUGGUGCCCUUCCGUCAAUUUCUUUAAGUUUCAGCCUUGCGACCAUACUCCCCCCGGAACCCAAAGACUUUGAUUUCUCAUACAGUGCAGACGAGGACAAAUGUCACCCGCCCAUCCUGAGUCGGCAUAGUUUAUGGUGUAGACUACGACGGUAUCUAAUCAUCUUCGAUCCCCACACUUUCGUUCUUGAUCAAUGAAAACAUCCCUGGUAAAUGCUUUCGCAGUAGUUCGUCUUCCGUUAAUCUAAGAAUUUCACCUCUUACAACUGAAUACGAAUACCCACAACUGUCCCUAUUCAUCAUUACCACGGCGCGCAAACCAACAAAAUAGCACUGUGGUCCUAUCUUAUUAUUCCAUGCUAAUAUGUUCAACGACAUAAGUCUGCUUUGAACACUCCAAUUAACUCACAGUAAAUGAUGGGAAUCCCCAGCCCGACAACUCAAUGCCAGACAGGCUCCUCCCAAGGAUGGCCGGAGAGAGCAAGUACCCACCUUAAAGGUCGGACCGCACUCUCCCACCAGAAAUUCGACUACGAGCUUUUUAACUGCAACAACUAAAAUAUACGCUAUUGGAGCUGGAAUUACCGCGGCUGCUGGCACCAGACUUGCCCUCCAAUUGAUCCUCGAUAAGGGAUUUAAAUUGUUCUCAUUCCAAUUGCCAGACCUCGAAAGAGGCCCGGCAUUGUUAUUUAUUGUCACUACCUCUCUGUGUCAGAAUUGGGUAAUUUACGCGCCUGCUGCCUUCCUUGGAUGUGGUAGCCGUUUCUCAGGCUCCCUCUCCGGAAUCGAACCCUAAUUCCCCGUUACCCGUUGAUACCAUGGUAGGCCACUAUCCUACCAUCGAAAGUUGAUAGGGCAGAAAUUUGAAUGAACCAUCGCCGGCGCAAGGCCAUGCGAUUCGUUAAGUUAUUAUGAAUCACCAAGGAGCCCCGAAGGGCAUUGGUUUUUUAUCUAAUAAAUACACCCCUUCCGAAGUCGGGGUUUUUAGCAUGUAUUAGCUCUAGAAUUACCACGGUUAUCCAUGUAGUAAGGUACUAUCAAA